CGUGACAACUUCGGUACUUGAGGGGCAGACCUGGUCUAGGUGAUUGGAUGGGGAGGUCUGUUUAUCACCGGAGGAAUCUGGCCAGCAAAGAAGCAGCAUGAGUUGCUCACCCUAAGGCUGGCUGGCACGUGUGCACAAGGUCAAUCUGCUCGCCCCCAAGGCCCACCGCAGGCGACCUGGGAGCCGCAGUCCAGGAGUUCGCUAUCAUUGCCAUCAAAAGUGGCAGAUGGAGAUCCCUUUGGUGGAGGUGACCGAGGACAGCCGCAGUGAAGCAAAUGACAUGGCGAUUCAAUCCGGUGUAGCAUAGCCAUUCUAGCUCCGGUGUUGCUGCUGCUGCUGCAGAUGGGCUAGCCGUGGGGUUUUGCACCUCGCACGUGGAUUCCCCUGCCUUCGACUACACCAUGACAUUUGGACUUGGCCACACUCCCUGUGUGUUGAGCUGCUCACCCCGAGGGCCUGUCACGGUGACCUCCACAGUGGUUUUCAGUAGCUUAUGGGCAUGGGCAUGCAAAGGAGCUAUGUUAUUUUGGAUCAGUCUAUUUGAUGAUCUCCAUGCUGGAAAUAUGCAGACCAGAUUCUUGAGUUACUAGAUGUUUCACGUGAGCUGUCUGGGUCUGUGACAGAUUGUUGAAUCACAGUCCCUGUCCCGGUAAUGAUAUCAGUAAAGCAAGCCAUAUAGAAUUUUCAGGUGCAAGGUAAUUUCAUGCUUGGAGGAGACACUUUUUAUCUGUUACAUAUAGCCAUGGUUCUGAUGUGAAGAAAAUGCUGGUACUGGGAAUGUAUCGGUUGAAGACUUGACUCUCCUAGUAGAAAACGGGAUCUAGUUGUUUGAUCACCGGUAACCCUCGCCUACCAACUGAUUGUGACUUAACUAAUUCAAUGCUGGCUGUAAUGAACUAGCAAUGAUUAUACUGUAAUCUUAUGUGCAUUUUCUUUUACAUGUUCUAGAACAUCCCUAAAUCAUCUCCAGUUAUUGAACUAUGAAACAUGAUAUGUCGUGACAUGGAAGUUUUGACAUUCUCCUUUGCUUCUCUUGACCAUGGACUUUUUAUCCCUUCCUGAUGCUUGUUACAUGCCAUGCUGUAAUAGUCAAGGAGUAUUCAUGGUCACUUUUUCUGUUAUUAGCUUCUAAAGCCAUUUUCUAGUCACUCUCAAA